rnacentral:rRNA from 1 species
GAGCGAACGCUGGCGGCAGGCCUACCACAUGCAAGUCGAACGAACUCUUCGGAGUUCGUGGCGGACGGGUGAGUAACACGUGGGAACGUGCCUUUAGGUUCGGAAUAACUCAGGGAAACUUGUGCUAAUACCGAAUGUGCCCUUCGGGGGAAAGAUUUAUCGCCUUUAGAGCGGCCCGCGUCUGAUUAGCUAGUUGGUGAGGUAAAGGCUCACCAAGGCGACGAUCAGUAGCUGGUCUGAGAGGAUGAUCAGCCACAUUGGGACUGAGACACGGCCCAAACUCCUACGGGAGGCAGCAGUGGGGAAUCUUGCGCAAUGGGCGAAAGCCUGACGCAGCCAUGCCGCGUGAAUGAUGAAGGUCUUAGGAUUGUAAAAUUCUUUCACCGGGGACGAUAAUGACGGUACCCGGAGAAGAAGCCCCGGCUAACUUCGUG